AGUCUGCAACCCGACUACAUGAAGCUGGAAUCGCUAGUAAUCGCGGAUCAGAAUGCCGCGGUGAAUGCGUUCCCGGGUCUUGUACACACCGCCCGUCACACCAUGGAAGUUGGGGGUGCCCAAAGCCGGCAGGGAAAUAUGCUGUCUAAGGCAAAACCAAUGACUGGGGUGAAGUCGUAACAAGGUACC
rnacentral:rRNA from 1 species